AAUAUAGUGCCUGAUUGUUAAAAGGGUAGCUUUGAUAGAGCUAAUAAUGUAGACUCUACCUAUAUUU
rnacentral:tRNA from 1 species